rnacentral:rRNA from 1 species
CGGGGUGAGUAAUGUCUGGGAAACUGCCUGAUGGAGGGGGAUAACUACUGGAAACGGUAGCUAAUACCGCAUGACGUCGCAAGACCAAAGAGGGGGACCUUAGGGCCUCUUGCCAUCGGAUGUGCCCAGAUGGGAUUAGCUAGUAGGUGGGGUAACGGCUCACCUAGGCGACGAUCCCUAGCUGGUCUGAGAGGAUGACCAGCCACACUGGAACUGAGACACGGUCCAG